GGGGGGGGUGCGGUGGCGCAGUGGGUUGGACCUCAGUCCUGCUCUCCAGUGGGUCUGGGGUUCGAGUCCCGCUUGGGGUGCCUUGCGACAGACUGGCAUCCCGUCCUGGGUGUGUCUCUGAAAGUGUGUGUGUGUGUGUGUGUGAGAGAGAGAUGGCCCUGUGAUGGACUGGUGUCUGAUCCAGGGUGUAUGCACCCUGCUUCACCAUUCCUCACAAUGGUGAUGUGUACAGAUUGUGAUAUGCAAGAGGCAUGCUUUUCCUGUGGGAGAGUACAGUUUUAAUGCCAAGUCACGUUUUGUUGAGCUGCCGUGUAAAAGGACAUAAGAAGAACAGCGAAUGUGCAAAAUCAAUACAGCUGCAACACAAAUUGGACCCCAAUGAGGACAUGUGCAGAAGGCAUUUCUUUUGCCGUCAUGUGAUGGGAGUGGAUUCCUCUGGCAGUUUAGACAGUUGAGAAUCUGACUGAUAUGAGUUCAGUUAAUCCCUCUGGGCUAUGAAGAGGAUUCAGACAAGACACAAGUAGGUUCACAGCAAGGUUACCUUAAAUGCUUGAAGCUCAGGACAGUGCCAUAAGCCGUGCAAGCACCAAAGCAAGUCACGAUGUAGAAGAGUAGUCAGGGGUCAUAUUUCUCCAGAAGACAUCACUUAAAUGAGAGAGUGAUUAGUCCGCAUGUGUAAUCAUUCAGUAUAAUGUGACAGGAAUCUGCAGCACGCGGCAUGACUGUUUUGGCCUUGUGACAGAAAUCAAGAUGCUUGGGUACUUUGCCAGGUGUCUUCCAUCUGAAUUCCUGAAUGAAAGAAACAUUCAUUAAAUUAAUUACUGAAGGGAGACGUUUCUCAUUGUACAUAUUCCUCCUCAGUUACCUUACGGUGGGCACCACAAUACUCUGUCUGAAUAUUAAAAUGUUCCCCAAUUAAGUUGUUUAUCCUGAGCACAAUUUUCUACACAGAAGCCAUAAACAAUUUUAAGCAGGUGACCUGUGAUAGGUGUAAUAUUUCCACAUUAUCUGCGGUUCUCUCUCACACAAGUGCCCACUGGUCACACUGUCUGUUGAUCUUCUGCCAGUCUUACACCUUCUUCAUGAGUAUCUGAAGAAAUGCAGACUCACAAAGUCACCAUGCAGCACACACGUACACAUGGAAAAGCACAGUGAAACUGCUGCCAUACCAUUUGUUAAGCUAUACUCAUACUGUCUGUACAAAUAGAGAUGCAAAUGUGUAUAAGAACAUUUACAUGACUUCAUAUGUUAACUUUUGAGAAGAUUCAAGGCCUCAAACACAACCACCCACAGAGGUUAAGAGAACUUCAUUAACAUAACCACACGUACUCAGGCACACAAACAGUCACACGGACACUGGACUGAAGAGACAUCCUUUUCUUUUCAGGAAGCAGUUAGAUGGUUUUCUAUUUCCUGGUUAUGUUGUGUGUUGUUUUCUCUUGAGAACUUAUGGACUACUUCCAGGAUGCUAUUAAAACAGCACGGAAGCCACUGAAGGACAUCACCUGAUUUAAAAAAAAAAAAAAAAAAAAAAAAAUUCUUAAUGUAGAAAACAAGGCAGUAGAUCAAACAGAAUGUGUACCACAUGCCCAUUGCCCUAAUAACAAAUUACACCAGUUGAGGAUUCUUUCAAUAAACGUGCUUCAGCUAAAGAUGUGAAUUCUGAA
rnacentral:lncRNA from 1 species